CCUACGGGGGGCAGCAGUAGGGAAUAUUGCUCAAUGGGGGAAACCCUGAAGCAGCAACGCCGCGUGGAGGAUGAAGGUUUUCGGAUUGUAAACUCCUUUUGUUAGAGAAGAUAAUGACGGUAUCUAACGAAUAAGCACCGGCGAACUCCGUGCCAGCAGCCGCGGUAAUACGGAGGGUGCAAGCGUUACUCGGAAUCACUGGGCGUAAAGAGCGCGUAGGCGGGAUAGCAGGUCAGAUGUGAAAUCCUAUGGCUUAACCAUAGAACUGCAUUUGAAACUGUUAUUCUAGAGUGUGGGAGAGGUAGGUGGAAUUCGUGGUGUAGGGGUAAAAUCCGUAGAGAUCAAGAGGAAUACUCAUUGCGAAGGCGACCUGCGGGAGCAUAACUGACGCUGAUGCGCGAAGGCGUGGGGAGCGAACAGGAUUAGAUACCCUAGUAGUC
rnacentral:rRNA from 1 species